rnacentral:rRNA from 1 species
UACGUAGGGGGCAAGCGUUGUCAGGAUUUCUUGGGCGUAAAGAGCGUGUAGGCGGUUUGGUAGGUCCGUUGUGAAAACUCGAGGCUCAACCUCGAGACGCCGAUGGAAACCAUCAGACUAGAGUCCGGAAGAGGAGAGUGGAAUUCCUGGUGUAGCGGUGAAAUGCGCAGAUAUCAGGAAGAACACCCGUGGCUAAGGCGGCUCUCUAGUACGGUACUGACGCUGAGACGCGAAAGCGUGGGGAGCGAACAGG